GGCGGAGCCGCGCCCCUGAGGAGACCGCGCGGGCGGGCGGGAGGCCUGGCGCGGUCCGGCCCCGGCAGGACGCGGUGCUCUCCCGCCGGCCCCGGCACCGCCUCCGAGCCCCGGCUGCAGAACUGGGAGGUUGAUGAGCCUACCAGUGCUAGCCAGACAUCCCUGUGGAAACAAACCGAAGGAAACUCUCAGGAACCCAGGGUGGUACUGGAAUAAAACACAGAAAUGUGUGCUGCUGCAGCAAAGAGGGCACAUCUUGUCGUGGACAGAUCAAUAGCAACCAGCAGACAGAUUUACAGCUCCCAUGGACUGUGAACCUCUCAGUUUUUCGUCCUACACUGGGUGAAAGUGAGCACAUGCCAUUUGUUCCUAUUUUUAGCACCUGCAUUCUCAAUCCAGUAUAAGGAGAGGCCCGACCAAAGGAAUUGUCUCAAUGUCACCUGGCAGAAACACUUAAAAAUUGUUUUCAUUGCAAAGGGAGGGGUAAGUAUGUCCCUGUGAUCCAUGAAAACACAGGUUAUUCACUUCCAUUGUACAGCACUCAUUUUCACCAGAAUUCAGCAGCUGGUGUGCACAGCCCUAAACACAACCAGUUUGGGAAACAGCAUCAGUACCCCCUGCAGAUCCCCAGCUCCCCAUACUCUGUGUGUUAAAUAUGGCAAGCCAAUAGGAAACCUGCUGCAAGUCUCUUGGAGCUGCUCUAAAAUCUUCACUCGGGAGUCUGGAAGAAACAUCCCCAUUCACAGUGCUUUGGUAGAGACGUUGCACAUUUCAUCCCUCUUCAAAUAUUUAUAUAUGUACUUCACGUUCGAGUAAAGCUGUCCUUUUCAUCAGAGCAGGAAGAUUACAGCAAGGGGAGGAAUUACCCUAAAUUGGCAAACAUCAUUGUCUAUUAAGUAACACAAGGCUUUGAAAGGAGAAUUGAGUGUCUGGCAGCCAGGAGCUUGGCUCCACUGCACAGGAGAUUUCAUAAUGAUAUGUUUUGAGAUCAACUGUAAAAAAAAAAUGAAAACAAAAUCACCUACAGCAGUGUAUCCCAUGACACUGGGUGCUAAGGAGCCUGGAAAAACAGGCUGAAGCUAAAAUUCAAUGCUGAAAUGGUCUGCUGCCUUUGGGGGAAAGACAUUUCCCUCCUCCCAGUCCCACACCCAGGCCCUGCCUGCUCCUCUGUAAUCAGAGCUGGCCUUUGGAGACCUUCACAGGGGGAGGUGUUUUAAUCCAAAUAUGUUCCUUGAUCCACUCAGCAGCCAGGCCUCAACAGUUGUCCAAAAGCAGGAGAAUACCUAGAACCAGCACUGGCAUUGCCCACAGCAAUGCCUGACUGGGAUGCCCCUGCUGUGCUCAGAGCAGCUGUGCCCUAAAAUCCCCAGGGGAGCUGAGGUGGGGACUCAUUUUGCAGCCCUGCUCUCCCAAGGAGGCCACUCAGCCUUCCCUGGAUCCAAAUCCAUGCAUCACACCAGGCAAAGUCCUAACCCCGGGAUGUUUCUUACCUGGUGCUGCCAAUUUGCAGGUGCUGGCUGGGGCAGGACAGCAGGGACCACAUCUCAGCACAGAUGUGCAACCUCUCCUGCAUGGCUGCUUGUGCUGGGGUGAAAGCAAGGGAGGCCUGGAAGAUGUGUGGUUAAAGUUGUUGUGCAGUUUGCUUCCAUGGAAAAAGAAGCAGGGUUUUCAUGUUUCAGGUCUGUAAAGCCAAGUUCUGUGAUAGACACAGCAGUAAAUCAUUGCACCUUUUGGUUUUUUUUUUUUUUGGUUUGGUUUGGUGUUUUUUUUUUUUUUUGUUGUUGUUGUUUUUUGGCUUUUUUUUUUUUCCUCCUGAGAAAGAGAGCAAAUCCUUUUGACUGCAGCAGCUUUAGUUUGGUCUGAAUCUGGAAUAACAUUUUUGCCUCCGUGUUCAAAAGCACCACCUUCACUCAGCAUCAUGAUGCAAGUGAUGAGAUGCAGUGUACAGCCCUUGUCAGAGAGCUGCAGAGCACCAAACACUUCCCAGGAGCUGAAAACUGGGAAGUUUCAGGGCAUGAGUGUCACAUCACUUGGUGACACAAAUUCUUGUUGCCCGUGUUUUUCCACAGGUAGCAUGGCAUGCUCCAGACAGCCAGAAAAGAGGAUCUUUAAAAACAUUCAGCUCUUAUUUUUUAUCAAGCUCAAAAUAGUUUCUGAGGAUUUUGGUUUGGUUUGGUUUUGGGUUUGUUUUUUUGUUGUUGUUGGUUUUUUUUGGGGGGGAUUUUUCGUUGUGGUUUUUUUCUUUCUCCCCCCGGCUACUUAUUCACAGUAUUUGGGUUCACUGUAAUAAAAGCUGACCUGGGGACUGCUGCUUUUACAUCAAUGGAAACGGGUUAUGUACAUUGGCCUUUUCUCUAGCAUUUGCCUGUUAAUUAAUAAUUGGUACAUUGCCAGGAGCAAAGGAGAGGUAGGAAUGGGAUUCAGGUUAUAAAAUCUUCAAGGUUAUCUCGCUGUCCCUGCAGCAAAGCGAGAGCCAGAGGGGCGGGACAGAGCCAGGGUGCUGAGAGAGGGGGACGGGCUGUGGGCCACUCGCCCCAGGAGCCAUGUGCUGCAUUCCCGGGGAGCCACAUCCCAGCGCUCCCGGAGCUGCCGGCACGUCCUCCACAGCGACGGGAGAGCAGCAGCCCCGGGAAUUUCCCUGUCUGCUGCGGGAUUCCCGGGAACCUGCCUGCAGCCACCCUUGGGAACGCGGCUGGCCGCCCCCCACUGCAGCGCCCAGCCGGGCAGAAACACGGAGCAGCUGCUUUCCCUGAGUCUGGCACGGCUGGCAGCCGCUGGCAUUAUGGAAGUGCUUCCCAGAGCCCUCACACUGUCCAGAACGUGCACCCUCAUCUCUCAGCCCUUGCUCCAAAAUGUGCUCCCACCCCCCACCACGUGCUGAAAACGCUGCAGGCACACAGGUACUGAAACACCUCCUGUGAACACUCUUGGCUCUCCUGAGUCAAAACCCUUCCAUAAGGCCAGGACAACUGGAAUUAAUUUUCUGAGCUGGACCAGAGCUUAUCCAGGAUACCGAUCUGCCUGAUAUUUGUGGACAGAUUGGUGUGGCUAGAGGACACUUGGAGAGCACAGGACAAACCCAAGCAUGCUCCUGUGACCAAAGAGAACAAGAACAGGAGAUAAGAGGCUAAAACUUAAAUAAUGACUAAAGACCAAGGAUUUCUCCUGUGGCAUGCAAGCACUUCAGCGGCAGCAAGAAAAAAAUUAAAAAGCAAAGGUGACAUGCAACUCGAGCUGGAGCAUCUCAGUUUCUCCAGGAAUGAACCUGUUUUUUCCCACCCAAAUGUUUGAUCCUGGAAUUCACACAAUGAAAGAGCCUUUCCCAGGCUGGGCAGGGUCUGUCAGCAAGGCUUGCCAGCAACACGAGCCCAGCAUUUCAGUGGUCUCCUCACAGUCAUCUCCUCACCUCCUGCCCCUGCCACACGCAGGGCAGCCAGCACAGCAAGUGCUGCAGAGCUCUGCUCCACUUCCCUUGGCUUUUGUACCUUGCUGAGAUGGGGGAGCUGUGGCUGGCAGGUUCAGCUUUGGCAAAACCACUCAAGUCGAAUAGAUUGGCACACGUGCUUCAGAACACCACUUUUUUUCCUCUGGAGCAUUGCAGCUUUGCUCUUGCAGGCACAGCAGGACAGGACAGAGACUGUGGAAAGGAAGUUGCCCCUGUUGUGCUGUGUGCUGCCAUUUGCAAGCUGUGGGCAGAGCUGCACUGUGCUGGUAUUGAUUCAUGUUUGCCAAGAAUAAUUACUCCUGAGCUGCUUGGAUUCAGAUCAGUUUCCCUGCUCUGGAAGGACGUACCUGCCUUUUUCAGACACAGGCUGCAGUAACUAACGCUCUCUGCCUCCAUGUGGGGCUCCUUUUCCUUGCAGACACAAGGCAGGCACAGCAGUGCAGGAUGCAGAGUGCAGAGAGGAUGGAGAAGAAUCCACUUGAAAUUCAGUUUCUGUAGUAGCAGAAACUGGUCAAUAAUUAUUUUGCAAAAAACCAAAAAGGGACCUGCUCUAUAGAAACCAUCUUUUUUUGUGUCCUGGAAACAUGAGCUCCUUGCACCUCUCCUUACCUCUGUUCAGGGGCAUCCCACUGCAUUUUGCAGCAGGACCUGAAGAGCUGCAGAACUGAAGAAGCUGCGGGUGAAGAGCCAAAAUCACUUUUCUCCUUUGUUUACACCUAGGAAAAAGUGUACUGGACCCACUUCAGCUAAACCCCUUCUGCUUGGCUUUUACUUUUUAGCAGAUGCAGUUUUAAGCACCAGCAAAAUCCCAGAUAAGGGAAAACUGCCAGUCCUCACAUGUCACUUAGAUUUUUCCAAGCCAUCUUGAUUUCAGGCACCUCCUGGAUGAGGCUCCCUUGGACUGUCACAGUGCCAGCUUGGGUAACUCCAGUUAAAAUCAGUCCUGGGAGGGUGCUGGCUUCCAGGCUGGCUGAUUCUGGGUGGCAAAGGAAGCUGUGCCAACACCACUGGGAGGUUUUCCAAGACACUCCCAAGCCUGGGCAAAGCUCUCAGCUUUGGGCACAGCUGCUGCCACAGUGAAAUCCUGCUCAGCCCACGGGAGCUGCACACCAGUGGCAGAGGCACUGAGUGUUUUGCCACCAGGCCUGGGGCUGGUGCUCCUGGCUGAGGGCUCCUUCUUGGGGUGGCAGGAGCAGAAGGGUCACCAACAGCAGGGUGAAGAGAGUGCUUGGGCUCAUUGAUAUGGUGGCACUGUGGGGCCUCACUCCCAGCUCCCUGUCCUGCACCAUCCCGCUGCUGCCCAUGGUUUCUACCACCAGGAGCUCAUGACUCACCUGGUUUCCCCCAAGACCUGCCAUUGUUCUCCUGGAACCAUUUCAGGUGGAUUUGUGCUCCUAAAAGCCACCCCAGAGGCCAUGGGCUAUCUACCAUGCCUCAGUGCUGACUUAGACACACUCCUUACUGCCCAGCCCAUCGGGGUGAAGGCCCCUGGUGCAUCAGAAUUACCAUAGAUCAAAGGAGGAGACCACAAAGGUUUUCUCCUGCUAUUGUAGGAUCUGCAGAUAAUAGAUAAUAUAAUAAAUAUUAAUUCAGAAAUAAAAAACAGAACAAAGGGAAAUUAAAUAACCCACACAGCAAGUUUUAACAUCCAGCCUCAUAGCUACAGGUUACUGAAGGGGGAAUGGAGGGAAGAUAUCUCCUGCAUCAGGGACUGGGAUCAGCAGCAUAAUUGGAGCUGAUGAAGGGUUUUCCCUAUGCUGCUUGAUGGAGAAAUUCCCCUGACAUGGAUGUGCUCACUGUAAAUAAAUAAAACUUCAGAAACGAGCAGAGAUGAGAGCUAGCUUUGUAAAUCAGUAAACCACUGCCCCAAGUAUGGAAUCACUGCAGGUUUUGUGCCUGAUCCUGUACACAUUUAACCUCCCCCAUGUAAAUAGUCCUCUGGAGUUAAUGGAGCUGUACUAAUUUGGAAUGGCUGGAGAUUAAGCCAUUGGGGUUAAGCAUUUCAGGCAGCUCUGAUUGCAGCACGCUGCAGUUACAGGGCUGUUGGAUGACUCAAAGGCGCUCCCGUGCUCUGGAAUAAAAGCAUCCAUGGCCAUUACACAAUGUCUCCAGCAGCCCUGCAAUGCAGCCCGAGUACAGCACUGGUCCUUCACAGGUUUUUUCUUCAGACAGAGGAAUCCUGUCCUGCCGGGUGGGGAAGGGAGCAGACACUUUGCCCAGUGCUGCAAUGUAAAGCUAAGUUCUUUCUUUCAUUCUCCCUGGGUAUGCACCAAUGUUUUCCAGACACUAUUUCACUACUGUUACACUGCUUGCAAGCAUCUUAAUUUAAAUCCCAUUAUAGAUGCACCAGGGCAAAAUAAUCUGUCCACAGCUGAAAUAAUAAACUGGAGUGAAAACAUCCUUGGGCUGUGAAGAGGCUAGAACAAGCACUAACUGAAAUGUAUAAACUUACAUAACAUUAUUUACAGAAAGGAGCCCAGUUGUCAAAGGCCCUAAGAGAGCUGGAACAUAGGAAUGUUUGUUCUCCUUGCAAAGAAUAAUUAAUUAUGCAAGUUUAUAAAUUCCAGUUGCUUUGCUUGCUCAUCUCCUGAUGUGCCUAAGGACUGCCUGGAAGGUAUUUACAGUUCCCAGCCACUGGUUCUGGAGGCAUUUUUUUAACCUUGUACUUCUGCAUGCCAUUGCCUCACAGGAUCUUGGAGCAGGAGAUUAACUCUACACACCUCGUUCCUCGGCCACAGAAAAAUGCAGAUUUGUUCUGAAGUCCUGCAGGAGUGAGUUUAUUUCAGGGACAUGCCUGGAGGAGGCCACCACACGUUUUUCAGAGGGUGGUGGGGUGGCUGCUGCAUUCUGUGAGUGCAGGGAGAGCCCUGAGCACAUGCAGGUGGCUGGGAUCAAGCAGAGACCCCCCUCUCUCUCUACCUGGGCCACUCAUCCACUCCUGAGGUGGCUUUGCUUAUUUGUCCCUUUUGCUGCCAAGAGCAGAGACGCCAUGAAGGCUCUAAUGCCCUCGAGGUUUGGUUUGCCAGGCAGGAAAAGUGCCACUAAUUACUGAAAUGCACUAUAAUGCACUAUAUAGUUUCCUGGCAGUGCUGUGUUCAGCCAGAGCUGCCAGAAAACUCAGGAAAUUAUUGUUGCCUCCCAGGCUCCACUCAGAAACACUAUGGAUUUGGGGUUUGUGCUGCGAUUGCUGUUUUUCUCCCAUCCACUCCUGUAAAAUGUCACUCCUCGAGGGGUCUGAGGAACUUGCAGGCAUCCAAAAAUACCAUUUAUGCAAUUACCUGUUUUUAUGUAUUCUCCAAUACCACAAGAGCUAAUGGCUGAGUGCUGGAGUUCCAGUGCUGCUGGCCACUAAGGCAAUUAAAAUGCAAGUACCAAGUCACCUGUGUGCAGAGAAAAUAACAAUCAGGAAAACAUCUUUGGGGAACUCUCUCUUGUACCUCCUUGCUGACAGAUGCCCUCUGACAGCUCCGCAUUUCAGGGACCUCUGGUUGCUGCAAUAACCCUGCAAAUGCAGCAGGGUCAAAACCCCCAGGUGGGAUCUCCACCCCUGACAUGCCUUCAAACCUGUUUUCCUGCAAAUUCUUGCACUGCAAGAUCUGCCUUCCUACCACUAAAAGGAAGGAGGAAGAGGAAAGCAUCUGGGGACUUGAGCUUGGGGUUGCUCAGCCCCAUCACACCUGGAGGGAAGCUCCACAGCACCACCCACAAUUUUGUGCUUGGACAACAAGCUCAGGUGAUAUCCCAAAAUAACACUUCCCAAGUGGCACUGGCAGUUCAGAGGUGAGGCUGCAGCUGUGUCCCUCUUGCCACCUUUCCAUGGGGGGUGGCACACCGUGUGCUCUGGGACUUCUGUGGCCCUGGGGAAUCACCCACUGGAUUCAUGCCACUGGGAAAAGGCACCUUUGGUGUUGUGUGUCCUUUUUGAGGAGAGUGGGCCUCUUCCACAACUUUGGCAAAGAUUGGCUGAAGCAGUGUGACCUGGAUGGGUGGAAACAGCUGGAUUUUGGUGCACUGAGGGGAGGUGCACUGAUGGUGACGGCUGCCUGUCCCCCUGUGCUGGCAUCUUUACCCCCACCCAGCACAGUGAGGGAGACCCAGGAGUGCAGCUCUAGCCUCCACACUGGAUUAAAUGACACUCCCAGCCACACUUCCCUGGGAUUUGGGAAUAAUUUUGAGGAGGAUUUUAACAGGCCCAGCUUCAAGGCAAAGAGCCCUCGUCUGUUUUUCCAGUCUCAAGCCACAUGAAACAUAACACAUUAAAAAGUCAUCAGUGGCUGCUGCUACAGGACCACUGCAUUCCCCUUAUUCAAAAGGCUCCCUCUGUCCCCAGCACUGAGGACCUCUUCAUAAAUAUUUGGAAUGAAUGAAUAAACUGUUGAAAAUCCCCAGAAAGGGAAGAAAACAUUUCUGUGAGCAAUCUAUGGCCAGUGUGAGCCUUGGGGUAAAACUUCUCAGAUACUUGCACACCUACAAAUGGUCAGUGAAUUCUUAAAUCGGGAAAUCUCCUCAGAAAAUGGUGAGCAAUUUGUUUUAUCAACAGGUAGCAAAGAAUUGACACAGAGAAAACAAAAUAUCUCAAAACAUCAAUCACUUUAUUUAAAAAGUCCAAGCACAGUGAGAUGUGGAGAUUACGGGCUCCUGCGAAAUCCUUCCCAUUGUGUGAAACACAAUGAGAGCAUACACACUAUUAUUUACACUUGCAAAAGGACCCGUAAGUAAAAAAAAAAAUUAAAAAAAA